rnacentral:rRNA from 1 species
GACGAACGCUGGCGGCGUGCUUAACACAUGCAAGUCGAGCGGUAAGGCCCCUUCGGGGUACGACGAGCGGCGAACGGGUGAGUAACACGUGGGUGACCUGCCCUCCAGCUCUGGGAUAAGCCUGGGAAACGUGGGUCUAAUACCGGAUAGCCCUUCCGACUCUCGAGUCGGUCCGAAAAGGUAAGCUUCGGCCUCUGGCCGAGGAUGGGUCCGCGGCGGAUUAGCUUGUUGGUGGGGUAACGG